rnacentral:rRNA from 1 species
AUACGGAGGGAGCGAGCGUUAAUCGGAAUUACUGGGCGUAAAGCGCGCGUAGGCGGCUUUGUAAGUCGGAUGUGAAAGCCCCGGGCUCAACCUGGGAAUUGCAUUCGAUACUGCAGAGCUAGAGUAUGGUAGAGGGAAGUGGAAUUUCCGGUGUAGCGGUGAAAUGCGUAGAUAUCGGAAGGAACACCAGUGGCGAAGGCGACUUCCUGGGCCAAUACUGACGCUGAGGUGCGAAAGCGUGGGGAGCAAACAGGAUUAGAAACCCCAGUAGUCC